CUUAACACAUGCAAGUCGAGCGAUGAAGCACCUUCGGGUGUGAAUUAGCGGCGAACGGGUGAGGAACACGUGAAGAAUCUGCCUUCAACUCUGGGAUAACUCCGGGAAACCGGGGCUAAUACCGGAUAUGAGCCUUGAUCGCAUGAUCGGGGCUGGAAAGUUUUUCGGUUGAAGAUGACUUCGCGGCCUAUCAGCUUGUUGGUGAGGUAAUGGCUCACCAAGGCGACGACGGGUAGCCGGCCUGAGAGGGCGACCGGCCACACUGGGACUGAGACACGGCCCAGACUCCUACGGGAGGCAGCAGUGGGGAAUAUUGGGCAAUGGAGGAAACUCUGACCCAGCGACGCCGCGUGAGGGAUGAAGGCCUUCGGGUUGUAAACCUCUUUCAGUAGGGAAGAAGCGAAAGUGACGGUACCUACAGAAGAAGCACCGGCUAACUAUGUGCCAGCAGCCGCGGUAAUACAUAGGGUGCAAGCGUUGUCCGGAAUUAUUGGGCGUAAAGAGCUCGUAGGUGGUUCGAUACGUCGGAUGUGAAAAUCAGGGGCUCAACCCCUGACCUGCAUCCGAUACGGUCGAGCUAGAGUUUGGUAGGGGAGACUGGAAUUCCUGGUGUAGCGGUGGAAUGCGCAGAUAUCAGGAGGAACACCGAUGGCGAAGGCAGGUCUCUGGGCCAAUACUGACACUGAGGAGCGAAAGCGUGGGGAGCGAACAGGAUUAGAUACCCUGGUAGUCCACGCCGUAAACGGUGGGCGCUAGUUGUGCGAACCUUCCACGGUUUGUGCGACGCAGCUAACGCAUUAAGCGCCCCGCCUGGGGAGUACGAUCGCAAGAUUAAAACUCAAAGGAAUUGACGGGGCCCCGCACAAGCAGCGGAGCAUGCGGCUUAAUUCGACGCAACGCGAAGAACCUUACCAAGGCUUGACAUAUACAGGAAUAUGGCAGAGAUGUCAUAGCCGC
rnacentral:rRNA from 1 species